AUAAUGUUGUUAGUGUAGCACACCUAGAAAAAGCAGUAUAUUGUUUGUUCAUCUGUCCACAUACGUCUUUCACUUUUUGCGAUUGAUGUUUAUUUAGUUGACUAUGUAGACUUUGCUUUAGGUCAAAAACUACCAUGUGAAAAUGAAAAUGUAGGCUAUUUAUGUGGGAGUCUAACACAUACACUGGUUAUAGGUAUAAUAAUAAGAGUUCAUCUUAGCCUAUAUUGAAUUGAGUAUUAAUUGUCAUCAUCAUUAUUCUAUUCUACUAAGCCAGUUACUUUAUGUUCGUAUUCUUAUCUUUUAUUAUUUCUUAUUGUUGUUGCAUUGUUGAGAAGGAACCUGAAAGUAAGUAUUUGUAAUAUACUACAUACAACUAAUAAAACUAGAAAUGUAGUGGUAGUUAUGCAACAAAGAAUACAAGACAACCAACUACAUGGAAUUAAAUGGUGCCGUAUAGUGCCGGAUUAAAAGAAAAAGUAGUUAUUAGGUUACAACUGUGUAAUGACCUUUUUACCAGGGUAAUUCCAAAUAGUUACCUGGUCAUUUCUGUACAUUCAAAUCAAGUGUUACCUUUUUUUCUUUCUUUCUUGCAGCAGCCACAUCCCCCUACUCUACUCACUCUUAUGAACUGUGGAACCCCUUCUAACAACAUCUACAGCAUCGGUUGUCUAGCUACCAGCUUUUCACCUUCCUCACUCACAUUCAAGUGGACAGACGCCAGCGGCAGUGUGCUGACGGACUUCAUCCAGUACCCGUCGGUUCAGAGUGGGGGAGCCUACACAGGAGUCAGUCAGCUCCGCUUGUCUAAGGAUGACUGGGGAAACUCAAAGUCUUUCAGCUGUUCUGUGGAUCAUCUUGGAAUUGAAAAGAAAGCAGUCAUCAUUAAACCAGUCUCAAAGCUUCCAACAGUGUCUUUGCUGUCGGCACCCAUUGGCACCACUCAGUACCUGAUGUGUAUGAUUGAAGAUUUCGCACCCAAUAAAGUCACUGUCACCUGGAAGAAGAAUGACAUGGAGGUGGAGGGCCCGACCCCUACUGUAGGCCAACAGCCAUCAGGCCUCUACUCAGCCAGCAGUCUGCUGAAGGUCAACAACACUGACUGGAACAACAAGGUCAGGUACAGCUGUGUGGUGGAGCACCAGGGACAACCCACCAUCAAGACGAUCUCCAAAACAGAACCACUUACGGUGACUCUGAACCCACCGCGUGUGAGAGAGGUGUUCUUGGACAACCAAGCGGUGCUGGACUGUGUCAUCACUGCUACAGACCAGGACACAGUGUCUGGUACCAACAUCACCUGGCAGGUCAACGGACAGGCCAAGACGAGAGGCAUCAUUAUGAAACCCAUUGAAUCAAACGGCAACCUGAACAGCAGGGUCAGUACUCUGACCAUAGACCAGACAGAGUGGACCAACGUGAACAAAGUCCAGUGUUCUGCCAUGAAGAGUGGUGAAGACACAUCGGUCAUUCAGGACAUCAGCUUCACCAAAGGAAGUCAAGCCCCUUCAGUGUCCGUUCACCUUGUCCCAAAGGAAGACCCCAUGGAGGGGGAAGUGACUCUGUUGUGCCUGGUGGUCAGUCCGUCUCUCUGUGAUGUGUACAUCAUAUGGAAGGUGGGCAGCAUUGGCACUUAUCAGGAGGGGGUCACCAGCCCUCCUCAGAAAACCCAGAAAGGCAGCUACCUUGUCACCAGCGUCUUCACCACUGCCAAGAAUGUGUGGGACACAGAAGUGCUUUUCACAUGCGCUGUCAGGCACGCCGGCUUGGACAACAACACCGCAGCUAAGGAGGACAGUGUGUCGAAGUCCAAGGAGAACAUCCUACAGACUGAGCCUGAGGCGGGCUUCGCUCUGAGCUGCACGGACAACGAUGAGGAUGAGUUCAGCAGCCUGUGGUCCACCACCUCCUCCUUCAUCAUCCUCUUCCUUCUCUCUCUCACCUACAGCACAGUGCUCAGCCUGGUCAAGAUGAAGCAGUGAAGAACACAUGAUGGACCAAAGAGAUAGAUGUGUCUAGAUUAGAAAGUGGUGGUCUGGGAUGGUUAUGGAGUAUAGUAGUGUUCUUCAGUAAUAAUGUUAUGUAUAUAUCCUAUACAUUAUUGAUUAUGAUUGAUUAGUAUUGGUGUUCUCACUAUUAUACAAGCAUCGUAGUGAUGUUAUUUUUCAUUUGUUCAUUUCUAUUGUACAGUAUCUUUAAGUAUAAGAGUGUCCUGUGAUGUCUGUGUGUCCUUUUACACUUUAAUAAAGUCUAACUCUUAGCUAGUCA